AACUUUUAUGAAUGAAAAUUAUUAAAAUAGAAAAUUUCCAUAGAUUCUUUUAAAAAAGCUCAGAUAUCAGAGUAUUCUCUUUAAUGAAUUUAAAUAACUUUAAAUUGCUGAUAGUGUUAGUAAAAAAAAAAAAGAUUGCUAACAAAGGAUUAAUAUUUUUAUUUAUUUUUUCUUUUUUUUUAAUAAUUUAAAUGAGGAUUUUGAAUAAAUAGCAUGAAACAAGCAUCACUUCUAACGUGAAUGUAAAUUGAAGUGCUUGCACGGGAAAUGAGCACUAUUCAAGAGACUAGUUUGCAUUACAGAAGUGCACUUCUCUUUACAACAGAUAAAUAGAAUGGCUGCCUGAGGUUCGUGAAUAAUCAAAGGACGUCUUAGAAGCAAGUUGUGUACGUAGAUGAUUCAGAAAUUGAAAUAGGAGUCUCGUUAGAGCCGUUGUUAAAGUAAUUUUGGAUGGAAUGGGUAAGUGAAUCGUCGACUUGAUUGCAGCAAUUGAAAAUGUGUGUAUCUACUUGAAAUCUCUUAUUUGUUUGGUAAAAAAAAAAUUUAUAAAUAUUAUGAGUAAAUAUUAUUGAAAUUUAUAAAAAGAAUAUCAAGUGUCAAUUAAACAAGAUUAGAUAUAAUCUUUCAUAUUGAUAUAAAAUCACAAUUUAUUUGUUAUCUUUUAUGUUAUAAAAAAUUUCAUGAUAAAAUUGAGAUCUUUUGCUCUAGAAUUUAUAUUAAAAAAAGAAAGAUAACACAAAACGGAUAUAAUCUGGGACUUUUGCAUCAUACAUUUAACCAUGUUCAUAUAAGGAUUAUUUUAUGUUCUUACCCGCAUCUUUCGUUAAUUUAUUAAACGACAAACACAUUAAUAACGAUGCAAAAACAAAAUCCAGACAUUUACCAAGGGAUGAUUCGUUUACUAAGGAUAGAAUAUAGUAUAUUGCGUUUCCUUGAGUGUGAUCAUUUUGUUGAAUCGAUGUAAAUCUUAGCUCUUUCUACAAAGUGGAUUAUUAAUUCGUCUCAUAGGCGUUCAAUUAGCCCGCGGGUCCGGCGUGAAAUGAAUUAUUCGUCGACGCAUGCGCGUUCUCGGCAUGUUUUACCGCGCAACGGAAAUUUACUGCUGUCGCCUCGUAUAAAUAGUAGACAUGGCCACCAUGAAAUUUACGAACGACCAACAGAUUGUCUCGUAAAAUUUCUACGUCGCUGUCUCUUCUUUUCGUUUUGGAAAUUGUUCAUUUUCAUAGUGAAACAAUAAGACCCGGAAGUGAAGAACUCGUAUCCUCGUGAUGGAAAUCUGUGCGGAGAAUUUUGUGGUUAUGGUGGUUAGAUGCACUUUUCGUGAUUGAGGAUUAAUGUGGGUUCUUUUAGAAAAUUAUGCAAUUUUCUUCUUUUCUCCGCAAAUUAUAAUUUACUAUGAAGAUAUUUUCUAAUUUUUUUUGCGUGAGACGAAGUGAUUUUUUUCAUAUCAAUAACAUGUUAGUCACAAGAUCUCUCCACGUUAUCUUCCCUUUUGCACGAGCGUGUUUUCCAUUAAAACGAAUCGACUCUCGCGACUAUCCCUGCAAUCUUUCAACAGCGUUUCAUCUUCUCCUGCGUGUGGACCGAUCUUUCGAAGACAUUCCAUGCUCAUGGUGGACCCGGGCUGCAAACGCGUUCCUAUGAAUUAUUGCACCAUUAACGGAGAGAUGGAAUCGAGAGAUAAAUUUCUUGCCUUCUAAAAGAAAGAGAUUGCAAAUUUUUACCUUUUGAAGAUGUGAUCAUUUAACGGUGAUAGAAGAAAUACUUAUGAAACGCUGUGUGAUAUAUAAAAAUCCAAGUUCAGGAUUACACGUAUGACAAUGCAUGUAUGAAGAAAGUUGAACUGUAAAAUAUUAAACAAAAAUAUAACAUUGGAAACUAAAUCAAAUGAUAUAUAGCGACAUAAAAUUCCUGCAUCCCAUAAAUCUUCGACAUGUUGCGAAAAUCAGCAGAAAGUUGAGUUGUCUUCUUUAAUUUCAAUAACAAGAUUUGGAAAAAGAAGAGAACAGGAAAAAAACAAAAGCCAGUUUUGCGGAGUAAUUAGGAACCUACGAGCAAUAGUGCUAAUCAAGCGAAAGGGCAGAGAAAGAAAUAAGUCUGAGGAGAUGGAAGCUGAAGAAGGGUCCGGUUUAAGUGACAGAAAGGCUGGUCCGAAGUGGCACGAAGGUACACGCGAGGUGGUAGCCUCGGGUGACAAGUUAAAAAGGGAGGGACGAGGUGGCGGCGCGAGCCAGCCUUCUCUUCUCUCGGAUCAUGCUAAUGAAAUUCUCAAGAUAUCUAUCUUGCGCGCCACUGUGCACAAGGCAUUAGUUUAGCGUCUCGCUCGCGGCCACCUCGAUCUUAUCUGUCCGCCUUCAGACGCACGGUAUCAAUUUCCCUGGAACGUGAAACAUACGGGCCAUGGUAGUUCGUCAACCGAUUCCGGUUGUUUAACGAUCCUUGCCUAUCUGUGUACUGCUGUUCACAGUUUGGAUUCUGUGGAAAUUAAGAGGAAAGAAGAGAUGACUUUAUACAGAAUGAUGUUUUCUUAAGGAUUGGAUUGACAUUGGAGGAGAGGGAAUUGAUUUGAAGUGGAAAGGAGAGAGAUGGAUUGUUUAAAUAAGAAAAUAGAAAGUUGGAAAUAGGUGAGAAUGACGCUAAAAAUUAUGAUUAAAAAGAAAUAAAAAAAUAGAAGAGUGGAAAGAAUUGAGAGAACAAUUUUCCCAAGUUAUUUGUAAUCAUUCUUAUUUAAAGAUUGCAAUUAGACGGUUUUAGAAUUAUCAGUAUUCAAUAUUUACAAUUCGCGCAAUUUUAUUGCCAUUUAAUAAAUUAAAUAGUAUAAAGAUCGAUAGUAAGUAUUUCUAAUCCUUGCUUUUGGCCUGAGAUUACAAGAAGCCACAUUAAUCGUCUUCUUGUACGAAAAGAAUUGCCUUGCUCAUUCAUCACCAUAUAUCCUCCAGUCGAUGAUCUUUGAAUCAACGUGCCGCGGUAUUCCCACAAUAACGAAGCUGAAGAUGCAGAAAAUGGAAUCGGCGAGUCACGGCGUAAAGAUGAAUAUGAAGACGUUGCCACUAACUUAUGCACUUCCCAUGCCAUUGAGAUCCUUUGAUGCCGCCGAAUCGUUCAAGGAAUAUGACAUUAAGGUCAGCGACUCGCUCACCGGUGCUGGGGCCAAAUUGCAACUUGCUGCAACCCUGGUGUCUUCCAUCCCGCUCGUGAACAAAGAAGACCGCUCGAAGAGGAAAAGAAAUAGGACGGAAUCGGAUGGAAGGAGCGUGAGAAUGAAGCCUCCCCACCGGCUCAAGCCCCCCCGAACCUAUGAUUGAUUUAAAGAUUGAACGUCACACAAUCCAAGAUCAAAAUAUAUAUGGAAAUUCUUCUUGCGGAAGAUCAUCCUUCAAGACGAUUGAACAUCACGCAAUCCAAGAUCAAAAUGUAUAUAUGGAAAGUUCUUCUUACGGAAGAUCAUCCUUCAACAUGGUAAAAACUUUUCCUCUUACCAUCUUUCAUAACCAUAUCUCACACGUUCCUCGCCGGAGAAAUCUCGCGCGCGUUAAAACGUGCAAUUACCCUCUCUUAAAUCCCUAAAAACAUCACGCUAGAACCAGGCUUACGUUCCACAAUCAACUUAAAACCUAUCCUCCGCAAGACAAUCAGUCAAUCGCCGAUCAAUCCUCCUCCUCCUCCUCCUCUUCUCCUCUCCCCUUCCGGUAGUCGUCCGCGCGAUUCCGCGAACCGUAUCGUACCGACAAAGCAUCUACAUAAACCUCGGCGCAACUAGUCGUAUUUCGUGCGCGAGAAAUCGGCCGGCUUUCUUAGAAGCGAUCGCGCCUCCACGAAGCAACAACCCCCGCUCGAGCGGGGAGGGAGACGACGGACGGAGGAGGAGGAGGGUCGAGAAAAUCGCGUACGGUCAGAAAGCGUGGAGGCUGUUUCACGGCGAUAUUUUUAGAGGAGCGUUGUUACAAGCGCGAGUUGUUCGCCGUUUAUGUCGAGCGUUCCUCCUCCUCCUCCUCCUUCUUCGGGUUUCCUUUCGGUCGCGAGCCAGAAGCCGUGGAAGAGCGUGCUAUUUCAUGGCGAAGGACGGCGUCGAAAAACGGAGAUCCACCCUGCGCACGUAUCGUUCCCUCUUUAUUUGGAAGAGAAUUUUUCGGCGCGGCGGGGUGGCUUCUUUGCGGCGCGGCGAGGAUUCCGACACGAUUUCCGCUUCUUCUUUAUGUCGGGGAGUCGGUUGUGGAUGUGGGUAUCGGUGGUGUGGAUAUGAUAUGUGUAAGUAUGGGAGAAGAUUGGUGUAAAAAAAAGAAAAGAGGAGAGAAAAAAAGUGAGGAAAAAUGUGGAAUGAAAUUGUUUCGUUUUUCAACGGGGUUUUUGAAAAAGUUGAAAUGCAAUUACGUAGGGUAAGGUUAGAGAGAGAGAGAAAGGAUUUGUUUAGAAUGCUUUUUUCUUCCUGUCAUGAAAAUUUAGAGAUUUUAUGGUAGCUUUAAUUUUAUGGUUCGCUAUAAAAUAUGAUUGCAGUCAGGUAUCUAUAUUUAGAAUUAUUAGAAGAAGAAUAUUAUUCAGGAAUUAAUCUUAUACUUGCAUUGUUGGAAGAAGAAUUUUUCGUAUUCUUUUUGAAUAAAAUAUUUAAUUAGAUCCUGUAUAAAUUUUACUAUUCUUCAAAAUUGACAAAAUUUAUAAGUUAGCAUAGAAAUUAAUUAGGAUCUUUCUUUACGUCCAACAAUACAAUUAACUAUUUCAUUUCAAAACGAUUCUUAUACAUUUCUAAAUAUAAAAAUGAAUCAUUUAUCACAAUAGAAUAAAAAAGAAAAAAAGAAAUUACAAAGAAACACGAUUAUAACAUGACUAUUAAAUAACUUGAUAAUAAUAAGAGAAGAGUUAUUUAAAACUCGUUUAGACGUCAAUCAAUAUACGCGGUGUGAAACGCGAAUGCUGAAGAAACUGCUUGAUGUUUCAGCUUGGAGGGGGAGGGGACGAAGGAUGGGACUUUUUACGAGGGCCAUAUCGCAAAACCGAAACCGCCAGGGUUACUUAGGCAAAAAGCGACUCGAGGAGAGCGGCGUGAACCACUUUUCUCGUGGGAAUGAUAGGAAUACAAGGGACCCAUGGAACGAGCGCAGGCCGUUUAACCAAAAUUACGUUUUAUAUGCAGAAGCGGAUCAUUGCGCGCGAGACGGUCCAUGCGUAACGGCCGGUUGGUGCAACGGUGCAUUUCCUUUUACUACUGUGGCCAGACAACAUGCACCGUAAAACCCGAGGGGCCAGCUUUAACAACUACAACUGUAGAAAUCGUGGCGUGUUUGUUCCAGAGACAAUGCAUCCCUUCGAGUUCUAACGUCAACAUUACUCUUCUUUUAAACUUGAAGCGUCUAUUCUUAUUUCUUUUUUUUAAUAUUUUUAAAAGACACAUUUAAAGCAAUACUCGAAACUUGCGCGUAUUUCCCUUACCUUUUAUUCAGGCGCAGUUAGAAAGUUUAUGUAAAUUUUGGGAACCUGUAAUAGAUUUAAAAUCCAAUCCAAUAAUCGUUUCUCGAUUAUUUUACGAUUAUGAUUAUACGUACGUGAAGUGAAUGUAUCGAUAUAUUGAGUGGAUGUUUCGUUAGAAAUGAUCGUUUCCAAUAAGAGAGAAUAAAAAUGCUAAUGCAAUUUGAUUGAGAAAUAGGGAAUCGUGUUGAUUGGUGCUGGUGAAAGGGAAAUGUUUCAAAAUCUUGAAAAUCAAACGAUUCUCUGUCUUGUGAUUUACUAAAGAUGGAUCAAGGAAAGAUGAAUAUUUUAUUAAAAAAGAGAAGAAAGAGAGAAAAGGAAGGAAGGAAGAAAAUAAUAAUCCUCCGCUUCGAAUUUUACGAGCUCGGAUAUUUGUCCAAUGUUCGGCAGAGUUGCAAAAAAAAAAAAAAUAAAAAAAAAAUACAAAGCUGCCGCGAGUGAAAUUGCUAUUCCAUACGCACGCGUAUAAAUUACGCAAGAUGGCCGAUCGUGUGUAAAAUAAUUAAAUCUGCCUCCGUCCAAAGAUCGCUAAUUCGAUCCACGUUUCGAGCCACAUAAAAGCCAAUUAUCGACGUCCCCAUUUUAAUCGACCGAUUCCCCUGAAUCGGUGCAAAAAUGCGACGAAAAAAAGGGAGGUAAUACCAUUCGAAGGAAAUACAAGAGUUCGGGGAUAGUUAAUUACUUCUCGAAACGGGAUUUCGAGUAGUUGAGAUUUCGUGGAAACAAAAGAUUUUUCAGGAUUGGAAGGCUUACCUUGUACUCCGAGACUCUGUCCUCGUCGUCCGAGGACGGGGCAGCGG
rnacentral:lncRNA from 11 species